rnacentral:rRNA from 1 species
AAACCAGCACCUCAAGUGGUCAGGAGGAUUAUUGGGCCUAAAGCAUCCGUAGCCGGCUCUGUAAGUUUUCGGAUAAAUCUGUACGCUUAACGUACAGGCUGCUGGGAAUACUGCAGAGCUAGGGAGUGGGAGAGGUAGACGGUACUCGGGAGGAAGUGGUAAAAUGCUUUGAUCUCUCGAUGACCACCUGUGGCGAAGGCGGUCUACCAGAACACGUCCGACGGUGAGGGAUGAAAGCUGGGGGAGCAAACCGGAUUAGAAACCCCAGUAGUCC